rnacentral:rRNA from 1 species
GGGUUGUGAGGUUAAGCGACUAAGCGUACACGGUGGAUGCCCUGGCAGUCAGAGGCGAUGAAGGACGUGCUAAUCUGCGAUAAGCGUCGGUAAGGUGAUAUGAACCGUUAUAACCGGCGAUUUCCGAAUGGGGAAACCCAGUGUGAUUCGUCACACUAUCAUUAACUGAAUCCAUAGGUUAAUGAGGCGAACCGGGGGAACUGAAACAUCUAAGUACCCCGAGGAAAAGAAAUCAACCGAGAUUCCCCCAGUAGCGGCGAGCGAACGGGGAGCAGCCCAGAGCCUGAAUCAGUGUGUGUGUUAGUGGAAGCGUCUGGAAAGGCGCGCGAUACAGGGUGACAGCCCCGUACACAAAAAUGCACAUGCUGUGAGCUCGAUGAGUAGGGCGGGACACGUGGUAUCCUGUCUGAAUAUGGGGGGACCAUCCUCCAAGGCUAAAUACUCCUGACUGACCGAUAGUGAACCAGUACCGUGAGGGAAAGGCGAAAAGAACCCCGGCGAGGGGAGUGAAAAAGAACCUGAAACCGUGUACGUACAAGCAGUGGGAGCACGCUUAGGCGUGUGACUGCGUACCUUUUGUAUAAUGGGUCAGCGACUUAUAUUCUGUAGCAAGGUUAACCGAAUAGGGGAGCCGAAGGGAAACCGAGUCUUAACUGGGCGUUAAGUUGCAGGGUAUAGACCCGAAACCCGGUGAUCUAGCCAUGGGCAGGUUGAAGGUUGGGUAACACUAACUGGAGGACCGAACCGACUAAUGUUGAAAAAUUAGCGGAUGACUUGUGGCUGGGGGUGAAAGGCCAAUCAAACCGGGAGAUAGCUGGUUCUCCCCGAAAGCUAUUUAGGUAGCGCCUCGUGAAUUCAUCUCCGGGGGUAGAGCACUGUUUCGGCAAGGGGGUCAUCCCGACUUACCAACCCGAUGCAAACUGCGAAUACCGGAGAAUGUUAUCACGGGAGACACACGGCGGGUGCUAACGUCCGUCGUGAAGAGGGAAACAACCCAGACCGCCAGCUAAGGUCCCAAAGUCAUGGUUAAGUGGGAAACGAUGUGGGAAGGCCCAGACAGCCAGGAUGUUGGCUUAGAAGCAGCCAUCAUUUAAAGAAAGCGUAAUAGCUCACUGGUCGAGUCGGCCUGCGCGGAAGAUGUAACGGGGCUAAACCAUGCACCGAAGCUGCGGCAGCGACGCUGAUGCGUUGUUGGGUAGGGGAGCGUUCUGUAAGCCUGUGAAGGUGUGCUGUGAGGCAUGCUGGAGGUAUCAGAAGUGCGAAUGCUGACAUAAGUAACGAUAAAGCGGGUGAAAAGCCCGCUCGCCGGAAGACCAAGGGUUCCUGUCCAACGUUAAUCGGGGCAGGGUGAGUCGACCCCUAAGGCGAGGCCGAAAGGCGUAGUCGAUGGGAAACAGGUUAAUAUUCCUGUACUUGGUGUUACUGCGAAGGGGGGACGGAGAAGGCUAUGUUGGCCGGGCGACGGUUGUCCCGGUUUAAGCGUGUAGGCUGGUUUUCCAGGCAAAUCCGGAAAAUCAAGGCUGAGGCGUGAUGACGAGGCACUACGGUGCUGAAGCAACAAAUGCCCUGCUUCCAGGAAAAGCCUCUAAGCAUCAGGUAACAUCAAAUCGUACCCCAAACCGACACAGGUGGUCAGGUAGAGAAUACCAAGGCGCUUGAGAGAACUCGGGUGAAGGAACUAGGCAAAAUGGUGCCGUAACUUCGGGAGAAGGCACGCUGAUAUGUAGGUGAAGUCCCUCGCGGAUGGAGCUGAAAUCAGUCGAAGAUACCAGCUGGCUGCAACUGUUUAUUAAAAACACAGCACUGUGCAAACACGAAAGUGGACGUAUACGGUGUGACGCCUGCCCGGUGCCGGAAGGUUAAUUGAUGGGGUUAGCGCAAGCGAAGCUCUUGAUCGAAGCCCCGGUAAACGGCGGCCGUAACUAUAACGGUCCUAAGGUAGCGAAAUUCCUUGUCGGGUAAGUUCCGACCUGCACGAAUGGCGUAAUGAUGGCCAGGCUGUCUCCACCCGAGACUCAGUGAAAUUGAACUCGCUGUGAAGAUGCAGUGUACCCGCGGCAAGACGGAAAGACCCCGUGAACCUUUACUAUAGCUUGACACUGAACAUUGAGCCUUGAUGUGUAGGAUAGGUGGGAGGCUUUGAAGUGUGGACGCCAGUCUGCAUGGAGCCGACCUUGAAAUACCACCCUUUAAUGUUUGAUGUUCUAACGUUGACCCGUAAUCCGGGUUGCGGACAGUGUCUGGUGGGUAGUUUGACUGGGGCGGUCUCCUCCUAAAGAGUAACGGAGGAGCACGAAGGUUGGCUAAUCCUGGUCGGACAUCAGGAGGUUAGUGCAAUGGCAUAAGCCAGCUUGACUGCGAGCGUGACGGCGCGAGCAGGUGCGAAAGCAGGUCAUAGUGAUCCGGUGGUUCUGAAUGGAAGGGCCAUCGCUCAACGGAUAAAAGGUACUCCGGGGAUAACAGGCUGAUACCGCCCAAGAGUUCAUAUCGACGGCGGUGUUUGGCACCUCGAUGUCGGCUCAUCACAUCCUGGGGCUGAAGUAGGUCCCAAGGGUAUGGCUGUUCGCCAUUUAAAGUGGUACGCGAGCUGGGUUUAGAACGUCGUGAGACAGUUCGGUCCCUAUCUGCCGUGGGCGCUGGAGAACUGAGGGGGGCUGCUCCUAGUACGAGAGGACCGGAGUGGACGCAUCACUGGUGUUCGGGUUGUCAUGCCAAUGGCACUGCCCGGUAGCUAAAUGCGGAAGAGAUAAGUGCUGAAAGCAUCUAAGCACGAAACUUGCCCCGAGAUGAGUUCUCCCUGACUCCUUGAGAGUCCUGAAGGAACGUUGAAGACGACGACGUUGAUAGGCCGGGUGUGUAAGCGCAGCGAUGCGUUGAGCUAACCGGUACUAAUGAACCGUGAGGCUUAACCUUACAACGCCGAAGGUGUUU